CAUGUCUAAGUACAAGCCUCACUAAGGUGAAACCGCGAAUGGCUCAUUAUAUCACACCUAAUCUACUGGAUAGUUAACAGUUACUUGGAUAACUGCGGUAAUUCUGGAGCUAAUACAUGCACAAAGCCCCAAACUUACGUGAGGGGCGCUUUUAUUAGAUCAAAACCAAUCGGCUUCGGCUGAACUCUUGGUGACUCUGAAUAACUUUGGGCUGAUCGCAUAGCCUAGCGCUGGCGACAUAUCCUCCGAAGGUGUGCCCUAUCAACUGUCGACUGUGGCAUAGACGCCCACAGUGGUUUUGACGGGUAACGGGGAAUCAGGGUUCGAUUCCGGAGAGGGAGCCUUAAAAACGGCUACCACAUCUAAGGAAGGCAGCAGGCACGCAAAUUACCCAAUGACCGAAGGUCGAGGUAGUGACGAAAAAUAACGAUACAGGACUCAUCUGAGGCCCUGUAAUCGGAAUGAGUACACUUUAAAACCGUCCCCGAGGAUCUAUUGGAGGGCAAGUCUGGUGCCAGCAGCCGCGGUAAUUCCAGCUCCAAUAGCGUAUAUUAAAGUUGUUGUGGUUAAAAAGCUCGUAGUUGGAUCUCGGCGGUCUGAGGGCGGUGGUCUUCAGAGAUCUACUGCCCUAUAGACCGUAGUUUUGCCAGAGGUCUCAGGGUGCUCUUAACCGAGUGUCUUGCGAUGCUGGCAGGUUUACUUUGAAAAAAUUAGAGUGCUCAAAGCAGGCUUUUACGCCUGAAUAUUCGUGCAUGGAAUAAUAGAAUAGGAAGUCGUUUCUAUUUUGUUGGUUUUCGGAAAUCGACUUAAUGAUUAAUAGGGACAGUCGGGGGCAUUUGUAUUCAAACGACAGAGGUGAAAUUCUUGGACCGUUUGAAGACAAACUACUGCGAAAGCAUUUGCCAAGAAUGUUUUCAUUAAUCAAGAACGAAAGUUAGAGGUUCGAAGGCGAUUAGAUACCGCCCUAGUUCUAACCAUAAACGAUGCCAGCUAGCGAUCUGCCGACGUUUUUUUUG
rnacentral:rRNA from 1 species